GCCAAGAGCUGAUGUUGUCACGUAGUCAGUGAAUUGAAAAGGGACCAGGACCGAGCCCUGUGGAACUCCAGUGUUAUUCACCACAACAUCUCAAGCACACAAGUCUUGAGCGUCAUGAGCUGCUGCCUUUCAGUAAGAACGAUCAUGGAAACGAGUUUCAUCUUCCCUCAGCAGAAAUUGAUUUGUGAGAGCAGGAACAAUGGGUGGAAUAUUGCAUUCUCACCCUUUCAGACCAGCAACGCAAGGUCCCAGAAAGUCUUACAAACUUUUUCUCAGAGGCACUUCUGAAUCGAGAGACAUCACUUAGCAAACCAAAUUUACCACAAAGAGUUGUUUUUCCUGCUGGAUAAACAGACAAG